UCUAUGUUCUUGCUUCUACUGCCAUAUCCUCCAUAACAGCUCCUCAAGAGAAGGAGAUCUGCCACUCUUGACUUGAAUCUGGGAUCCAAGGUUGUGCCCUCCUCCAUGAACUGUUUGAUUGUUUCCAUCCUUCAAGACAGAACAGUACGAGUCCCUGAAUAUUCCUAAUGAAACCAGCUCGUCUUUUGUUAAUUGGACGACGUACACAUGGGUCACAAGAGUCACCUGACAUGGUGCUGGUGGAGAAAAGGCGUAGCUUGACUCAUGUCAGUCAGGUGACAUGCAUGUGGGUCAAAUCUGGAACUUCCUGAGCUUCGGUCAGGAGCAGUUCUGGAUUCUCCGGGAGUGACCACAUCGGAUGGUCCAGGCAGUUGUACAUGCACAAUUAU